rnacentral:ribozyme from 1 species
UAAAAAAAAAGAAAUAAAUUAAAGAAGAAGAAGAAGAAGAAGAAGAAGAAGAAACUACUAGUGAAUGACCGCUUCAUCCUUUUU